AUUGAACGCUGGCGGCAGGCCUAACACAUGCAAGUCGAGCGGAUGAAGGGAGCUUGCUCCUGGAUUCAGCGGCGGACGGGUGAGUAAUGCCUAGGAAUCUGCCUGGUAGUGGGGGAUAACGUCCGGAAACGGGCGCUAAUACCGCAUACGUCCUGAGGGAGAAAGUGGGGGAUCUUCGGACCUCACGCUAUCAGAUGAGCCUAGGUCGGAUUAGUUAGUUGGUGUGGUAAAGGCCUACCAAGGCGACGAUCCGUAACUGGUCUGAGAGGAUGAUCAGUCACACUGGAACUGAGACACGGUCCAGACUCCUACGGGAGGCAGCAGUGGGGAAUAUUGGACAAUGGGCGAAAGCCUGAUCCAGCCAUGCCGCGUGUGUGAAGAAGGUCUUCGGAUUGUAAAGCACUUUAAGUUGGGAGGAAGGGCAGUAAGUUAAUACCUUGCUGUUUUGACGUUACCAACAGAAUAAGCACCGGCUAACUUCGUG
rnacentral:rRNA from 1 species